GACGAACGCUGGCGGCGUGCCUAAUACAUGCAAGUCGAGCGGACCAAAGGGAGCUUGCUCUGGGGAUCAGUGGCGAACGGGUGAGUAACACGUGGGCAACCUGCCCCAGACUCUGGGAUAACCUCGGGAAACCGAUGCUAAUACCGGAUACGACCACUUCGGACAUCCGACGGUGGUGGAAAGUUUUUCGGUCUGGGAUGGGCCCGCGGCCUAUCAGCUAGUUGGUGGGGUAAUGGCCUACCAAGGCGACGACGGGUAGCCGGCCUGAGAGGGCGACCGGCCACACUGGAACUGAGACACGGUCCAGACUCCUACGGGAGGCAGCAGUGGGGAAUAUUGGACAAUGGGCGAAAGCCUGAUCCAGCCACGCCGCGUGGGUGAUGAAGGCCUCGGUUGUAAGACCGUCGUCGGGUAGGGACGGAAGUCGAA
rnacentral:rRNA from 1 species